rnacentral:rRNA from 1 species
AGAGUUUGAUCCUGGCUCAGGAUGAACGCUAGCUACAGGCUUAACACAUGCAAGUCGAGGGGAAACGACAUCGAAAGCUUGCUUUCGAUGGGCGUCGACCGGCGCACGGGUGAGUAACGCGUAUCCAACCUGCCCAUCACUUGGGGAUAACCUUGCGAAAGUAAGACUAAUACCCAAUGACGUCUCUAGAAGACAUCUGAAGGAGAUUAAAGAUUUAUCGGUGAUGGAUGGGGAUGCGUCUGAUUAGCUUGUUGGCGGGGUAACGGCCCACCAAGGCGACGAUCAGUAGGGGUUCUGAGAGGAAGGUCCCCCACAUUGGAACUGAGACACGGUCCAAACUCCUACGGGAGGCAGCAGUGAGGAAUAUUGGUCAAUGGGCGAGAGCCUGAACCAGCCAAGUAGCGUGCAGGAUGACGGCCCUAUGGGUUGUAAACUGCUUUUAUAAGGGAAUAAAGUGAGCCUCGUGAGGCUUUUUGCAUGUACCUUAUGAAUAAGGACCGGCUAAUUCCGUGCCAGCAGCCGCGGUAAUACGGAAGGUCCGGGCGUUAUCCGGAUUUAUUGGGUUUAAAGGGAGCGUAGGCCGGAGAUUAAGCGUGUUGUGAAAUGUAGACGCUCAACGUCUGCACUGCAGCGCGAACUGGUUUCCUUGAGUACGCACAAAGUGGGCGGAAUUCGUGGUGUAGCGGUGAAAUGCUUAGAUAUCACGAAGAACUCCGAUUGCGAAGGCGGCUCACUGGAGCGCAACUGACGCUGAAGCUCGAAAGUGCGGGUAUCGAACAGGAUUAGAUACCCUGGUAGUCCGCACGGUAAACGAUGGAUGCCCGCUGUUGGUCUGAAUAGGUCAGCGGCCAAGCGAAAGCAUUAAGCAUCCCACCUGGGGAGUACGCCGGCAACGGUGA